GCAUGGCUGAAUUCUGUUCCAACUCUGUGGUGGACACAGUCAGACACCAUGCAAGAGCAUGGCCUCAUUUCUUUGGAUGGCGGGAGUGAUUUCUUAACUUCACCCAGCACUUUAGAAAUGAAAACAAAU